rnacentral:rRNA from 1 species
AUUGAACGCUGGCGGCAGGCCUAACACAUGCAAGUCGAGCGGAGCGACGGACGGGUGAGUAAGUCCUAGGAAUCUGCCUGGUCGUGGGGGAUAACGUCAGGAAACGGGCGCUAAUACCGCAUCCUAUCAGAUGAGCCUAGGUCGGAUUAGCUAUUUGGUGGGGUAAAGGCCUACCAAGGCGACGAACCGUAACUGGUCUGAGAGGAUGAUCAGUCACACUGGAACUGAGACACGGUCCAGACUCCUACGGGAGGCAGCAGUGGGGAAUAUUGGACAAUGGGCGAAAGCCGGAUCCAGCCAGGCCGCGUGUGUGAAGAAGGUCUCGGGAUUGUAAAGCACUUUAAGUUGGGAGGCGUUACCAACAGAAUAAGCACCGGCUAACUUCGUGCCAGCAGCCGCGGUAAUUC